rnacentral:lncRNA from 1 species
GGAGAACCGGGAAAGCCUGAAGCAGAACUCAGGCAAGGAGCAGAACGGUAACACCAGCAAUGGAACCAACGACUACAUAGGCAGUGUAGAGAAAUGGCGUUAAAUGGCUCAAAAAGGCCUGCACAUACUUCUCCCAAAGCGCCACUGAAAAGAUGGCAUAGUUUAAAAGAUGAAAGUGUCCAAACACAUCCUGCUUCCUUCAUUGGGGAAGUUAAAAAAAGAAAAGUUUAGAUGUUGCCUUUACAGUUGCCUUUCAAUUCAGUGUUAUACUGUGCGUGGGUAAAACAAAUCUCAAUAUGGAAUUAAAUUGUCUUUUUGGGGUUGGACUAUUUAUGAAAUCCGAAAGCCAAGCCAGACUCACCAGAAAUUGCUGUUUAGAUAUUUUAAGAAGUUCUUAAAUUAGUCAUGGAGACAAAAUGAAAACAUAAAAUGUGACCAUUUAACUUAUGGCUAAGAAAUGGACUUUUUAAAUUAUUCAUGAUACACUGUUAAAACCCAGUCUUGGAUUCAAACAUUUUUUCCAGGGGUGAGAAUAAGUAUAAACAUAAAGCGACUAAAAUGAAAUAUAAAACCUUUUGUUUUCUUCUGAUUUUAACAAGGAAUCUAUUUAAAUAGAAUAACAACUGAUGGUGAAUCUUACUAAGCUGUAGAAAAUAAAAAAUUCCUCUCCAAACAUGAGUAGUUUUAUGUCAAAAUAUUGGCUUUUCAAGAACAGGACUCAUAUCUUGAUAUUUAAGAGAUGUUUAAAAUUUAAAACUUUUUCUACCUUCUACUGUUUAAAAGUUUUAAACAGGGUGUAUCUCACAUUUAACAAAACAUCUUUUUUUUUUUUUUUUUCAAAAUGAAAUACCAAUGUAAAGAUCUAAUUUCCAGGCGCUUUCAGGGCACUGUAAUUUCAACAAUAUUGGAAUCAUUUUGGCACUGCUUCCCAUUCAUUUUAAGGCUUCUCUGAAUUGUGCUCAUUCCAAAUUAACCCAUGUAUAGAAUCUUUCUUCAUCAUCUAAAUGGUGUGUUGCUGAGUUUGUUGUGGUAUAUAAUCCUGGAUUAAAGUCAGGACUUUCUUUCUAUAGAAUUAUUUUAUCAAUAUUCGUGUAGUGAGGUCCUAAUCAAGAAACUUGAACAGGAUAAUGUGUCUAAAAAUAUUGCUGAAGUUAUUCUUGAUCAGAUAGAAUUUAACCUAAAAUGUGAACUCUUAGAUUUGUAGACAAUUACAAAAGCCAAAAAAGGAUAAAAUAAGCAUUAGGAAGGCUAGCCAGAGUUAUUCAAUAGCACCUUGAUAAUGUGGGCAAACCCUUCUACGAAAUUUUUGUUUUGAAAGAGCAAAAGUAAAAACUGUUAUGUAGUGAGGUUACAUAUCAGGAACAUAAUAGUUGAGCAGAGUGAUUUGGUAGUGUGAGUUGAUGCAAAAAUACUUCUAUGGUAUCAAUUACAAACUGACCAAGAUAAAAAGAAGUAUGUGACCCACCGUGCUGUCAAGCAUCAUGAUUCCUGGCAGUUUUCAUUUUACUAUGGAUUUUGCUAUACUUAUGCAAUGACUUAUACUAACCUCCUGGCUGUAAAUCAAACAAGGUGACUGAAAGUGGCAUUUAUGUUUUCAGAAGGGACACGCUGAGAAGUGUGACCAUGAAGUUAUAUCUUUUACAAUCUGCUCAUGUGUUUCUUCUGUAGUAAUAUAGCCACAAACUGGACAAUAAGCUGGGUAUUUGGGUUUAAAAUGGAUUUUCUUGACUCUGAGCUUGUAUCGCUAUUUCUAGCUUUUGUUUUGUCUGACAGUAUUGCAAUCCUGAAAAUCCUGAGAGCUAAAAAACUGAAAGGAAGUUUUUAAAAACUACACUUUGAAGUCACAGUGUUUUAGAGUAAAACUAUUUUGUGUACAAUUGUGUUUUUAAAAUAGUUAGUAGAUCACUAUGAUAUUUCAAUUUUCUUUAGUUUUAAUUGAAAAUGUUUGCUUUUAAAACUGAUAGGUACUGUUGGAAAGCAGGAUGAAGCCUGAGCCAGUGGAAGAACUUGUUACAGAAAAAACAUUUUGUGUUAUUGCUGUGGUGUGCAUGAUUUGCAAAGACUAAGUGCAUUUUCUCCGUCUAUACUGAUUAUUGUAUAUAGAGGAUGUUAUAAAUAUACACUUUUGCCAUUAUGUAAAUCCCAUGAUUUCAACUGUAAACAUCUGUCCAUUGGUGUAGCUUUACAAACCAUUCACUGAUUUUGUGCAAUUUAACAAUAGAUAUGAAAUAAAGUUUAAAUU